rnacentral:rRNA from 1 species
AUUGAACGCUGGCGGCAGGCCUAACACAUGCAAGUCGAACGGUAACAGGAAGCAGCUUGCUGCUUCGCUGACGAGUGGCGGACGGGUGAGUAAUGUCUGGGAAGCUGCCUGAUGGAGGGGGAUAACUACUGGAAACGGUAGCUAAUGCCGCAUAAUGUCGCAAGACCAAAGAGGGGGACCUUCGGGCCUCUUGCCAUCGGAUGUGCCCAGAUGGGAUUAGCUUGUUGGUGGGGUAACGGCUCACCAAGGCGACGAUCCCUAGCUGGUCUGAGAGGAUGACCAGCCACACUGGAACUGAGACACGGUCCAGACUCCUACGGGAGGCAGCAGUGGGGAAUAUUGCACAAUGGGCGCAAGCCUGAUGCAGCCAUGCCGCGUGUAUGAAGAAGGCCUUCGGGUUGUAAAGUACUUUCAGCGGGGAGGAAGGGAGUAAAGUUAAUACCUUUGCUCAUUGACGUUACCCGCAGAAGAAGCACCGGCUAACUCCGUG